rnacentral:rRNA from 1 species
AACGCUGGCGGCGUGCUUAACACAUGCAAGUCGAACGGAGAAUUUAUUUCGGUAAAUUCUUAGUGGCGAACGGGUGAGUAACGCGUGGGCAACCUGCCCUUCAGAUGGGGACAACAUUCCGAAAGGGGUGCUAAUACCGAAUACGAUCACGCUGCCGCAUGGCGGUGUGAUGAAAGAUGGCCUCUAUUUAUAAGCUAUCGCUGAAGGAUGGGCCUGCGUCUGAUUAGCUAGUUGGUGGGGUAACGGCCUACCAAGGCGAUGAUCAGUAGCCGGUCUGAGAGGAUGAACGGCCACAUUGGGACUGAGACACGGCCCAAACUCCUACGGGAGGCAGCAGUGGGGAAUAUUCCGCAAUGGACGAAAGUCUGACGGAGCAACGCCGCGUGAGUGAUGAAGGUUUUCGGACUGUAAAACUCUGUUGUUUAGGACGAAAGUGCCUGUUGCAAAUAGUUGCAGGUAUUGACGGUACUGAACGAGGAAGCCACGGCUAACUACGUG